ACGAGUUAGGGUCUUCUAGGCCCGGCCUCCCAACCCUUUGUUUAUUGAACCUAUGUUGCUUCGGCGGACCCGUCUCACGACCGCCGGAGGACCGCUGAAAGGCGUCCUCUUGCCAGUGCCCGCCGAUGGCCAACCAUUUAAAACUCUGAAUAAACCAUGUCAUAUGUCUAAGUCUAUGAUUAAAUAAAGCA
rnacentral:misc_RNA from 1 species